GACGAACGCUGGCGGCGUGCUUAACACAUGCAAGUCGAACGGAAAGGCCCUGCUUUUGUGGGGUGCUCGAGUGGCGAACGGGUGAGUAACACGUGAGUAACCUGCCCUUGACUUUGGGAUAACUUCAGGAAACUGGGGCUAAUACCGGAUAGGAGCUCCUGCUGCAUGGUGGGGGUUGGAAAGUUUCGGCGGUUGGGGAUGGACUCGCGGCUUAUCAGCUUGUUGGUGGGGUAGUGGCUUACCAAGGCUUUGACGGGUAGCCGGCCUGAGAGGGUGACCGGCCACAUUGGGACUGAGAUACGGCCCAGACUCCUACGGGAGGCAGCAGUGGGGAAUAUUGCACAAUGGGCGGAAGCCUGAUGCAGCAACGCCGCGUGCGGGAUGACGGCCUUCGGGUUGUAAACCGCUUUCGCCUGUGACGAAGCGUGAGUGACGGUAAUGGGUAAAGAAGCACCGGCUAACUACGUGCCAGCAGCCGCGGUGAUACGUAGGGUGCGAGCGUUGUCCGGAUUUAUUGGGGCGUAAGGGCUCGUAGGUGGUUGAUCGCGUCGGAAGUGUAAUCUUGGGGCUUAACCCUGAGCGUGCUUUCGAUACGGGUUGACUUGAGGAAGGUAGGGGAGAAUGGAAUUCCUGGUGGAGCGGUGGAAUGCGCAGAUAUCAGGAGGAACACCAGUGGCGAAGGCGGUUCUCUGGGCCUUUCCUGACGCUGAGGAGCGAAAGCGUGGGGAGCGAACAGGCUUAGAUACCCUGGUAGUCCACGCUGUAAACGGUGGGUACUAGGUGUGGGGUCCAUUCCACGGGUUCCGUGCCGUAGCUAACGCUUUAAGUACCCCGCCUGGGGAGUACGGCCGCAAGGCUAAAACUCAAAGGAAUUGACGGGGCCCCGCACAAGCGGCGGAGCAUGCGGAUUAAUUCGAUGCAACGCGUAGAACCUUACCUGGGUUUGACAUGGAUCGGGAGCGCUCAGAGAUGGGUGUGCCUCUUUUGGGGUCGGUUCACAGGUGGUGCAUGGCUGUCGUCAGCUCGUGUCGUGAGAUGUUGGGUUAAGUCCCGCAACGAGCGCAACCCUUGUUCACUGUUGCCAGCACGUUAUGGUGGGGACUCAGUGGAGACCGCCGGGGUCAACUCGGAGGAAGGUGGGGAUGACGUCAAGUCAUCAUGCCCCUUAUGUCCAGGGCUUCACGCAUGCUACAAUGGCUGGUAUAGAGAGUGGCGAGCCUGUGAGGGUGAGCGAAUCUCGGAAAGCCGGUCUCAGUUCGGAUUGGGGUCUGCAACUCGACCUCAUGAAGUCGGAGUCGCUAGUAAUCGCAGAUCAGCAACGCUGCGGUGAAUACGUUCCCGGG
rnacentral:rRNA from 1 species